AUGGCUCAAACCAAGGUCACUCGGAGGGCAGCUACAAUAUCAGCAAGAGUAGCAUCAAUAGCAAUAGCAUGGGAACUCUUCAUUAACAUCCUUAUGACAAUUGAAGUUGCCAAGCAGAGAGGCCUCUAAAAGAUGAGAAGCCAACAAAAUUUAUUGAGCAAGACAUACAUGAAGCAUUUUUUGUGGAAGUGGUCAAUUUUCUAUGGGAGGCUGGAGGGUCUUCUUAUCAGCCUGUUUGGCCAGUGAAUUUGAUCCAGCAAGAAUCAAUAGUUGGCUCAAUAGUUGGAUUCUUUGGUGCAGCACUGGGUAGUGUGGGAGGUGUUGGAGGUGGAGGUAUUUUUGUACCAAUGCUUGCCUUGAUCAUUGGUUUUGAUCCCAAGUCUUCCACUGCCAUUUCCAAAACUGUAUGCCAUCCUAUUGGUCAUGCAGGUUCAACAGUAUACUUCAAUUUGAGACUUAGGCACCCAACACUGGACAUGCCCCUUAUAGAUUAUGAUUUGGCUUUGCUCUUUCAGCCAAUGCUCAUGCUAGGCAUCAGCAUAGGAGUUGCCUUCAACGUCAUGUUCGCCGACUGGAUGGUCACAGUUCUACUUAUCAUUCUCUUCUUAGGUACAGCAGCAAAAGCUUUAAUGAAAGGCAUAGAAACAUGGAAGAAAGAGACAAUGAUGAAGAAGGAAGCAGAAAAGCAGUUGGAAUCAGAGUCCAAACCUGGCGUGCGCAUCUCCUUUGUUGCAGAUGGUUCUGGAGAAGACUACAAACCACUACCUGGUGGUCCUGCUUCAUUGCAAGAUGAGCAGGUGCCUAUAUCACACAACGUUUACUGGAAGGAGUUAUCGAUGCUUGUGUAUGUCUGGGUGGCUUUUCUUAUUGUUCAGAUUGUUAAGACAUAUACUGAAACUUGCUCCACCAUGUUCUGGGUCCUGAACUCCUUGCAGGUACCAAUUGCAGUCUCCGUUACGCUCUUUGAAGCCAUAUGCUUAUGCAAAGGCACCAGGGUGAUUGCAUCCAAAGGAAAGGAAAUCACAAACUGGAAGUUGCAUCAGAUUUUUCUUUACUGCAGCUGUGGGAUAGUAGCUGGUAUGGUGGGUGGCCUACUUGGGCUGGGAGGCGGUUUCAUCUUGGGACCCCCUUUUCAUGAAUUGGGAAUUCCUCCUCAGGUAGCAAGUGCUACAUCCACAUUUGCAAUGCUAUUCUCAUCCUCCAUGUCAGUUGUACAGUAUUACCUUCCCAACUGA